rnacentral:rRNA from 2 species
UAAUACGUAGGUGGCAAGCGUUGUCCGGAUUUACUGGGCGUAAAGGGAGCGUAGGUGGAUAUUUAAGUGGGAUGUGAAAUACCCGGGCUUAACCUGGGUGCUGCAUUCCAAACUGGAUAUCUAGAGUGCAGGAGAGGAAAGGAGAAUUCCUAGUGUAGCGGUGAAAUGCGUAGAGAUUAGGAAGAAUACCAGUGGCGAAGGCGCCUUUCUGGACUGUAACUGACACUGAGGCUCGAAAGCGUGGGGAGCAAACAGG